UACAGAGGUCUCAAGCGUUGUUCGGAUUCAUUGGGCGUAAAGGGUGCGUAGGCGGCGCGGUAAGUCGGGGUGUGAAAUCUCGGAGCUUAACUCCGAAACUGCAUUCGAUACUGCCGUGCUUGAGGACUGGAGAGGAGACUGGAAUUUACGGUGUAGCGGUGAAAUGCGUAGAGUAUCGUAAGGAAGACCAGUGGCGAAGGCGGGUCUCGUGGACAGCUUC
rnacentral:rRNA from 1 species